rnacentral:rRNA from 1 species
UACGGAGGGUGCGAGCGUUAAUCGGAAUUACUGGGCGUAAAGCGCAUGCAGGCGGUCUGUUAAGCAAGAUGUGAAAGCCCGGGGCUCAACCUCGGAACAGCAUUUUGAACUGGCAGACUAGAGUCUUGUAGAGGGGGGUAGAAUUUCAGGUGUAGCGGUGAAAUGCGUAGAGAUCUGAAGGAAUACCGGUGGCGAAGGCGGCCCCCUGGACAAAGACUGACGCUCAGAUGCGAAAGCGUGGGGAGCAAACAGGAUUAGAUACCCGGGUAGUCC